rnacentral:rRNA from 1 species
AGAGUUUGAUCCUGGCUCAGGAUGAACGCUAGCGGCAGGCUUAACACAUGCAAGUCGAGGGGUAGCCCGAAGUG